UACGUAGGGGGCAAGCAUUGUCCGGAAUCAUUGGGCGUAAAGCGCGUGUAGGCGGUCCUGUAAGUCCGCUGUGAAAGUCCAGGGCUCAACCCUGGGAUGCCGGUGGAUACUGUCGGGCUCGAGUCCGGAAGAGGCGAGUGGAAUUCCUGGUGUAGCGGUGAAAUGCGCAGAUAUCAGGAGGAACACCAAUGGCGAAGGCAGCUCGCUGGGACGUGACUGACGCUGAGACGCGAAAGCGUGGGGAGCAAACAGG
rnacentral:rRNA from 1 species